rnacentral:tRNA from 1 species
GGGAGUUUGGCCGAGUGGUCUAAGGCGCCAGAUUUAGGUUACUCAAGUACUUAAACAUUCUGGUAUCUUCGGAUGCGAGGGUUCGAACCCCUCAGCUCUCA